UUGAACGCUGGCGGCUGCUUAACACAUGCAAGUCGAACGGAGUGGCGCACGGGUGAGUAACGCGUGAGCAACCUGCCUAUGACAGUGGGAUAGCCUCGGGAAACCGGGAUUAAUACCGCAUAGUCAUAGAUGGGCUCGCGUCUGAGUAGCGAGUUGGUGAGAUAACAGCCCACCAAGGCGACGAUCAGUAGCCGGUGUGAGACGAUGAACGGCCACAUUGGAACUGAGACACGGUCCAAACUCCUACGUGAGGCAGCAGGGGGGAAUAUUGCACAAUGGGGGAAACCCUGAUGCAGUGACGCCGGGUGAACGAAGAAGGUAUUAGUAGCGUAAAGUUCUGUCCUAUGGGAAGCAGUACCAUAGAAGAAAGCUCCGGCUAACUCCGUGCCAGCAGCCGCGGUAAUAC
rnacentral:rRNA from 1 species